CUUUCUUUCCACAGUUCCAGCUAAUUACGAUGCAGAGAAGGCAUGGAAUGAUCAUUUGAAGCGCAUGCAAGAAAUCGAGCGCAGAUACCCAUCUCGCUAUGGUCUCUAUUUGAGAGACAAGCCACUCACACCAAACUCUUUGGUGCCUUUGGAAUACGAGCCAGAGGAUAAGCUGUUGGCUGAACUCAACAAGGCACGCCGCUCGGCCUCGCCGUUCCGUCCCAGCCGCACGAGCCGGGCUGGCAGCGAGCCCUACGUGCCUCCGCCAGUCUACUGGAACCGUGAGAGCAGCGUGCCACGUGGUGGACCAUCGGUGUUCGAUCGGGCCACCAGCUUGGCUCCGUUCACGCGGCCAAGCUUCCGUGCCAGCUCGCUGGAGCCGUUGGAUGAACUCUUUGAAAGACUUCCAAUCUUCCAUCCACGCAACCGCUUCAGGGAUAUGCUGAGCCCCAGCCCCAAGCUGCCGAUCUCGUCGAUUGUGCGCGAUCCCUUCUGGUGGGAUGUGGAUGAUCUGGUGCCCUUCCGUGCCACCUCGGUGCCCCGCGCGUCGAGCCCCGUGGCCCGUGAUUCGUAUUUGUCGCCGGUGAAGAAUCGCUAUCUAUGGUCGAGACACCCAGCUAGACCCCUGACACCUGAGGCAGAGGAUAUUUUCUAAAACAUAAAAAUGAAACAUAAACAUCAAAAUAAAGCCAAAUCACAACUCAAAAUCGUUAGCUCUAAUAACAACCGAUGCUAUAUCACAUAGCACUUCUGUAAUUUUUUUGUACUUUAAUUUACAUAAAUUACAUGUAACGAAAUGCAAUACAAACAAAUUGCUCACCGCUCAAUUUUGUAAACGAACGAAAACGAACUAUGAAACAACAACAACAACUACACUUACAACAACAACAACAACAACGAAUGCAUCAAUGGGGUCCCCAAUAACCAACAACGACUAGCUUUUUGGUUUCCAAGUCAAGAACCGGAAAUCAGUGAAAGUAGCAAAAUAUAUCUAUAUAAAGACUAUAUAUAUAGCCUUUGAGUCCUCAACAACGAUUGAAUUUUUUCAAAACUGCCAGCCCCAGAAGAUCCGGGUGCUGCCUCCACUUUAAUAAUUGCCAUCAAGUGCUUACUUCCCGUAGUAAAUAUAAUAGCAAACAUAAUAUUUAUAUAAUAAAAGAAGGAGAAGAAUCCAAAGGGAAACCUUUUUAACAACAA
rnacentral:misc_RNA from 1 species